rnacentral:rRNA from 1 species
AUGAACGCUAGCGGCAGGCUUAACACAUGCAAGUCGAGGGGUAUAGUAGCAAUACUAGAGACCGGCGCACGGGUGCGUAACGCGUAUGCAAUCUACCUUUUGCAGAGGGAUAGCCCAGAGAAAUUUGGAUUAAUACCUCAUAGUAUUAUAGUAUGGCAUCAUAUUAUAAUUAAAGUCACAACGGCAAAAGAUGAGCAUGCGUCCCAUUAGUUAGUUGGUAAGGUAACGGCUUACCAAGACUACGAUGGGUAGGGGUCCUGAGAGGGAGAUCCCCCACACUGGUACUGAGACACGGACCAGACUCCUACGGGAGGCAGCAGUGAGGAAUAUUGGACAAUGGGCGCAAGCCUGAUCCAGCCAUGCCGCGUGCAGGAUGACGGUCCUAUGGAUUGUAAACUGCUUUUGCACAGGAAGAAACAACGCUACGUGUAGCGUCUUGACGGUACUGUGAGAAUAAGGAUCGGCUAACUCCGUG